CAGCAGCCACGGUAAUACGGAGGGAGUUAGCGUUGUUCGGAAUUACUGGGCGUAAAGCGCGCGUAGGCGGUUACUCAAGUCAGAGGUGAAAGCCCGGGGCUCAACCCCGGAACUGCCUUUGAAACUAGGUGACUAGAAUCUUGGAGAGGUCAGUGGAAUUCCGAGUGUAGAGGUGAAAUUCGUAGAUAUUCGGAAGAACACCAGUGGCGAAGGCGACUGACUGGACAAGUAUUGACGCUGAGGUGCGAAAGCGUGGGGAGCAAACAGGAUUAGAUACCCCUGUAGUCCCUGUCUCUUAUAC
rnacentral:rRNA from 1 species